rnacentral:lncRNA from 1 species
UGAAUGGGGACCCCAGGACAAAUAUGCUGGCAGUGGAUAUAAGAUGGACAAACCAUGUGGGUGCCCUCAAGGUGCGUGCAACCAUGGAAUGGAAGACUGGAGGAACCCAUGGUGGCCAACCAUGGGCCCGGUCCCUCUGGUAUGGGCCAUGAGCCAGCUGAGCCUGAGUGCAAAAAUGGACAGAAGGCCAACUGGAGUCAUGAUGACAUCAACCCCUAUAACCUGGGGGACACUCAAGAAAACCACGCAGGAAGCUGAGAAACUACUGGAGCGUCAAGGCCAGAAAAAACCCCUGAUUCCACGUUCUUGGCCAUGUUAGCUAUAAUGCCCUGUGUGGUAGGUUUUCCCUUGCAGAGUCAAAAACAUAUUGGGCAUAGGUUCCCAAUCCUCCAGCAGUACAACCUGUACUUUGGAGUGACACUCUUCCUGAGAUCUAUCGUGAUCAGGGAGCAUGGGCUCCAGGACCCCUAUGUCCGGCUCCCCCGGACAUAGAACAGUUAGACUCUCAGAACAAUGUCAUCAAUUAUACUACCCCACUGGAAGGACUCCCCUUGUGUAUCACUACAAAGAUGUCACUCAACCAUAGCUGUCUUACAACUGAAGCUCAAGCAUGGUUGAGUCACCACGGAAAAGUUAUGUACUUAAUAGGUCUUGGUUCUAUUUAUGUAAUUGGUGUGCUAACCAACCAUGCCCGGCCCAAUUGCCCCAACUGCGCUGACUAUAUGGAAUGGAUUCCCUUCAAUAGUUCCAACCUCUCUCCAUUGACCCAGUGUCUUGGCCCACUGGGUAGAAAAGAAUCUGUGUUAACUGGAGACAUUGUGGAUUGGGGAACUAAAGGUCAACUAGAUGGAAAAGAUGAAAAUCAGAAAUCAUGACACAAACUUCACUGCCAUUGGUGGCAAGCUUUGAAUACUCCUUCUUUAUACCACACCGGGAUCCAAUCCCAGUCUUCCACCUGGAUUGCUUGGCAUGGAGCAGGCUUUAGCACACCUCUUCCUCAGUGGCAUUAUCUAGGGAGGAAAGGUCCAAUUCAAGAAACAAUAUGGAAAGCAGCACUGCUGUUCACAAACGGUAGUAUCUGGGUAGGAACACUCUCUAAUACCAGUACUGCUACUCAACACAGUCUUAAUGUUACAUUUGUAAGAAUAUCACCACUCAAUUUAUGGUUUGUGGUUUUAAUCCUUACGUCUUUCUGGCAGCUAGGGCGGACCAGCUCCAGGUAAAUAAUACUCAAUUGACCUUAAAUCUUGCCGGUUAUAUCACUGCAUUAAUCAUAGCACAUUGCAAACAUGUAAUAUCUCUACUUUGAUAUUUGGGUCACAUUCCUGGGCUAUGGAUUCUCAUUAAUCUGUCUGAGCCUUGUGAUGCCACCCCUGUUUGGCACUUUGUGAAACUUCUUCUAACUAAACUUACUCAUCGUGCCUGUAGAGCCUCAGGCAUGAUAAUUUUUGCUAUUGUUUCUUUGGUCACACUAAUCACUUCUGCUGUAAUGUCCUCUGUAGCUUUGCAUAGUUCUGUUCAAAUGGCUCAGUAUGUAGAGGACUGGAAGCAUGCAGCCAACUAAGCAUGGCUACUUCAGAGUAAAAUUAACACUGAGUUACAAACUGAAGUGGUAAUGUUAAAAUCCAUGGUUCAGUGGUUAGGGGAACAAGUACAAAGCUUACAGUUGCAACAGCAAUUGCACUGUCAUUUUAAUCACACUCAUAUUUGUGUAACCAACUUAGAAUAUAACCAAAGAGUAUCCAUGGGACCUUAUAAAAGCCCAUUUGCAGGGAGC